rnacentral:lncRNA from 12 species
CAGAAAAUCACAAUCUUUUCCUUCUUUUUUAGGUGAUUUUUGCCCUCGGCUCUUAGGGACUGGUGAGCAUCAUCAACAUCCGCAUCAUUAUUUCUCCACUUUUUUCAACAUCUGUGUAAAUUCUGAGUUUGAUGUUUAAUUUGAUAACUGGUUUAGUUUAGGCGGGAACUGCCGGACAUGUUUAGUGGUCUAUUCCUUUAAAUAUGUGAUAUUUUUUCCAGUGACCACUUUACACUUGCAUAUCAUAACCACAUGCACAAUACUGGUGAAAUCUUACACACGUCACCCUUAUCUAACUUUUUUAUAAAAUCAGCUUGUUGAUAAAUUCUCGUUCAGUAAUCUCACAAAAAUGUUCUAUCCAUGUGCAUAUCUGAAUGGGAAGAAGCACAUGAAUCAUCUGAACAGACAGCAGAUUUUACAACCGGUUGGAUCUGACAGAAAAUCACAGACAUACUUGCUUCCCAUUCUUUUGAGUUCAGUCAGUCCCACUGAACCUAAACUCAGCUCAAGUCACUGUGGAGAUGGGCCGGAGCUCAGAACUUUUCUCCCCCAGCUGGAGAAACCAGGCCAAACCGAACCACCUGGGCAUUACAGCCGUGGAUCUCGACCUGGAGAGGAAAAAACAGAGCUGAUGAUGGGAACCGCUCCCUGUCCCGUUCCCUGUCUGGGGCUGUUCUCCAUGAUGCCAGAGGCAGAGAAAGAACUGGAAAGGGAUCUUAGUUUUCAUCUUCACAGCACCGUUCUGUAGAGCGGCUCUCCACAUCCUCUCUUGAACCUUUUUUAGUACCUUUAGCAGGUGUGGAGUGUCCUAACUGUUCCCGGGAACGAAAUAUCCGAGAGGAAUAUAACAAAAUUAUCAUUCAGGCUAGGAGAGACAAAGAUUCUCUGAGUCAAAAAGUAGCAGAACUAGAGAAUGAGUUAAGGACAAGAGCAACACAGAAGAGAGAAGAGGGGUCAAGCUGGGAAAAGAAAAGAGGAAAUGAAGAAUCUACAAGCAGUACAUCUGUAGAGACAGGAAUAUUAAAGACUGCAGAGAUACCAAAGCAUGUGCUGGAUAAUGUCACAGUAUGUCACUUUGUUUCUUAGAGGAAUCUUUUCCAGAUCAUACAACUCUGAAGACACUACCGAUUGGAGAUGAUGGUUACCUAAAUUUCAGUUGCCAAUAACAGUGAACUGAAAUGCAAUGAUUCUCAAUACAAAUUAGCAAAAAAUAUGUUAAUGAACACACUUUAUACAAUAUUCAAAACGUUAAAUGUAUUAAC